rnacentral:rRNA from 1 species
UACGUAGGGGGCAAGCGUUGUCCGGAAUCAUUGGGCGUAAAGAGCGCGUAGGCGGUUUGUUGCGUCGGCUGUGAAAUCCCGAGGCUCAACCUCGGGUCUGCAGUCGAUACGAGCAAACUAGAGUGUUGCAGGGGAGACUGGAAUUCCUGGUGUAGCGGUGAAAUGCGCAGAUAUCAGGAGGAACACCGGUGGCGAAGGCGGGUCUCUGGGCAACAACUGACGCUGAGGAGCGAAAGCGUGGGGAGCGAACAGG